UACGUAGGGGGCAAGCGUUGUCCGGAUUUAUUGGGCGUAAAGAGCGUGUAGGCGGCCUGACAGGUCUGCUGUGAAAACUCGAGGCUCAACCUCGAGAUGUCGGCGGAAACCGUCUGGCUAGAGUCCGGAAGAGGAGAGUGGAAUUCCUGGUGUAGCGGUGAAAUGCGUAGAUAUCAGGAGGAACACCUGCGGUGUAGACGGCUUUCUGGACCACUACUGACACUGAGACACGAAAGCGUGGGUAGCAAACAGG
rnacentral:rRNA from 1 species